ensembl:lncRNA
UUUCUCCCAAGGCUGUGCAUGAACUGGUUACAGCUCUCUGGUCCAUGUUUGUUUCAGUGCUGGUGAAGCAAUAUUAAUGAGUUUCCCAGCCACUUAAACCCUGAAGUUAAAUAUUUGCAUCAAACAAAUUGCAUUUGUCUUGCAACCUUGGUAACGAUGUUACCAUAUUUUUCAAGUAUUUGCUGGGGUGCAGUGUGUCUUUGAAAAACAGGGUAUAAAGUAGGUAUUAUUGAUCAUAUACUAUGUAUUAUUAUUUUUUUAUUUAUUAUUUGUAUUGCUGUAGAACUUAGGACCCCUAGUCCUGACAGGUCCCUGCUGAACUAGGCUAGGCACUGUGCAAAUGAAGAGCAAAGAAGGUUCCUGCUCAAGAGCUUUGAAUCUGAAGGUUCUUCCAUAAGCGUACAAAGUCCACUCCAGCUUGUUAGAAACACACGUGGGACCUUGUGAUGAAAGUGCUUCAGGAUGACCUCUGCCUGUGAGUGUGAAGCUCAGUAUACCUCCUUGCAGACCAGGAAGUGGUAGAACAGAAUACUGCACCUUCCCUGCACAGACCUUUCCUGGAGCAGAAACUGAGGGAGCCAGCUAAUUAAGCUCUUCCUCCAUUGAGGGCCAUCCAACAGCAUAGAAGCAAAGCACACUUUCUGCAGUUUUGGCGAGGGAUGCUAGGAAAAUGUAUCAUGGAGUAUCUGUUUAUUGACUUGGACGAGUAUCAGUCAUCUUCCUCCUCAUACACAUACCUGAAGAACAUACAGCUGAGUGUAGCAGUCGAGUACAUUCAUGCAUUUUCGUACACCAAGGCCAAAUCCUGGUGGUUCUGAGUUUGAUGGGGAGACAAAAAACUCGCUGACUUCCAGUGGCCUCGAGUCUGUGAUCUUUAUUUUCUGUGUUAAAAGAUUGUUAAAGCCUCCCUUAUGAACAGUACACUGCACUCAGAAUAUCUACAGCUUCAUGUCGGAGUAGCACAGUUGUGAAAACCUGGCAGCUUCUUUCAUUUGUGAAAACGGGAGAGCGAAACCUCUCCAUCCUUGUCCCAGUGCAUCCAGCAGGUUGUUCACCCUUAUCCUCUGGUUUCAACCUACGCCUUAAGAAACAAAAUUAUGCAGCAGACUGAAUGAUAGAUGCUGGUGUUCCCAUAGUGUUUCUUUUUGGAGGGGGGGGGGGGAAAUAAAAGGAAAAAAAAAUGUUUUUCUUGUAAACCAGUUCAGCAUGAGCUGAUUCUAAGCUGCAUGGCCAUGAGCCAGUUCACACUGCUGGAAGUGAGGUUUGCUUGUUGUUGUGGUGUGAUAUAUGCCAUAGGUGUAACCUCUGGGACCAGUCCUGGUCUGUUCUGUACAGGUUUCCAAUAGGAUAGAGGUCACUGUAGAGGAAGCACUUAUUGCAAGUGAUAGCAUUUCAGUGAAGGUUUUGUAAGGGAGAUCUGUUACCCUGGAACGCAGCUGUUUGGGGGACUUGGUGAGGUGCUUGAGCAGGUGGCUCUGUGGAGGUGUACUUCCUUCUGUGAGCACUUCAUCCUUUCCUGGGCAGCUCCAGGAAAUCUUGCUUGUGUGCAGUUAUGAAGGAAUGCAUUUGCAGGGGUGUGUUUGGGUGCAUGGCUGGCACUUCACAAGCUUCCAUGAGUUUAGCUAUUGGGAAAGCCUCCCCAGGGCAUCUGAUGGUUGUUGGCAUUGCUGAACUAGCUCUAAUGCUUCCCAUGCAGGACUUCCAUGUACAUGGAGCAGAACUGGCAUGACCCUCCUCCCCUCUGUAGCCCAUUCUUAAGUCUCCAACACUCAAGCUGCGCUUCAGUGCAAAAGCUGCAGCUGUGCCCUGGCCACAUUUAACCCAUACAGACUGAGCGCACUGACAGAAUUCACUCCCAUGUUGAUUUCAUCUCCUUCCCCCUGCGCCAAUCCUGUUGAAAUGGAAAUGCUGUAGCAUCACUUGUUGCCAGAGCUGCUACUGCUGCAGUCAGCGAUGCUGCGGCCGUAUUGGGGUGAGCAGGACCCUGCCCAGCGCCCCACGCGUGCUGCGUCAGCGCGUCUCUGCUGUUGCGAUUCUGCCCCCAUCUCCCCCUCCUCUGGCCUUUAUGGAUUACUGGUGAAACUCACUUGUACAGUUUGGAUGUUUGAUAGAUAAAGCACGUAU